rnacentral:rRNA from 1 species
UACGUAGGUGGCGAGCGUUGUCCGGAUUUAUUGGGCUUAAAGGGUGCGUAGGCGGCUUUGUAAGUCAGUGGUGAAAUACUCCAGCUUAACUGGAGGGGUGCCAUUGAUACUGCGGAGCUUGAGUACAGAUGAGGUAGGCGGAAUUGACGGUGUAGCGGUGAAAUGCAUAGAUAUCGUCAAGAACACCGAUAGCGAAGGCAGCUUACUGGGCUGUAACUGACGCUGAUGCACGAAAGUGUGGGGAUCAAACAGG